UUAAUAUUCUUUAAAAAUCUAUAGGAGGGAAUAAUUCUUAUACUAAAUUAUACUUAUAACUAUAGUAGGUCUUUAAGGUAAAUAGCCUUUGGUUGAUAGAAUAAUAUAAAUAAAGGAAGUUAGUAAAAUAGAUUUAUAAUUUUAAGAAAAGGAUUAGCUCUAAGGGUUAGGUAUAUUGGGUUUUGGGUAGACGCUUUAGGAGUAAAUUACUACUAGUUAGAUAAUUAACCGGCGGCUUUUAGUAUCCGGGUAUAAAAGCCCUUAAUAAAUUUCGGUUGUCCGGCGUACGUUUAAUAAUUAAUUUAGAAUUAGUAUAGAUAGGGGGAAUUUAAUUAUCUAAUUAAAAUAUAGUAUUAUAAUAGUUAGAAAGUAGUGUUAAUGCAAUAUAAUUUCUGCCUAGUGCUUUGAAUAUUAAAGUAAAGAAAUUUAAUUAAGUAUAAGUAAAUAGUAGGAAUAAUUAUAAUUUUUUUAAAGUAGUUAAAUACUUUAUUAUUUAAUUAGUAAUAUAUAUAAAUAGAUUAACGAGAUUCCUACUAUCCCUAUUUAUUAUUUAGCGAAAUUAUAGCUAAGGGAAUAAGUUUAGUAAAAUUAGUAGGGAAAGAAGACUCUAUUAAACUUAACUUUAAUUUAAUAUUAUAAAAAGAUAUAGGAAAUAUAAAAUAGGUAGGAGCUUCAGCGCUAGUAAAAUACUACUAUUCUUAUUAUUUUUUUACUUAUUUAAUUAAGCGGGGCUAGAUUUUCGUCCAACUUCUAAUUUUAAAGUCUUUUACAAACCGACCCGGGUUAAAGAUAUUGUUAGGUAGGGAGUUUGGCUAAAGUAGUAUAUUUAUUAAACUAUAAUGUAGGUAUCCUAAGGGGGGCUUAUAGAAAAUAGAAAUCUCUAGUAAAAUAAAAGGGUAAAAGUCCCUUUAAUUUUAAUUUUUAGUAUAAAUACAAACUAUAAAAGUAUAGCCUAUUAAUCCUUUAGUCCCUCGAAAUUUAAAGCUAGAAGUACUAGAAAAGUUACUAUAGGGAUAAUUGGCUUAUAGCGGCCAAAUGUUUAUAACAAUAUUACUUUUUAAUCCUUCAAUAUUAGUUCUUCCUAUUAUACUGAAAUAGAAUUCAAUAAACAUUAAAUUAUUUACUUACUAAUAAGGAACGUAAACUAGGUUUAAACUAUCGUAAAAUAAGUUAAUUUUACCCUACUAAUAACUUUAUUACAAUAGUAAUUAAACUUAAUAUAAAAGGAACUAUUUAUUUAAAUAAUUAGUUUUUAUAAUUAUUCGACUAGGUAGUACCGCAACGCUACUAUCUAUUAAAUAAUAAUUGAACGCCUCUAAAUUAGAAUUUAUAUUAGAAUGUAAUAAUACUUCUAGUAUAUUAUAGAUAUAUAAAAAUAGGCUCCGGCCUUAUAUUUUAGUAAGCGAUUCCUCUAUUA